GAUGAACGCUGGCGGCGUGCUUAACACAUGCAAGUCGAACGAUGAAGCCCAGCUUGCUGGGUGGAUUAGUGGCGAACGGGUGAGUAACACGUGAGUAACCUGCCCUUAACUCUGUGAUAAGCCUGGGAAGCUGGGUCUAAUACCGGAUAGGAGCGUCCACCGCAUGGUGGGUGUUGGAAAGAUUUAUCGGUUUUGGAUGGACUCGCGGCCUAUCAGCUUGUUGGUGAGGUAAUGGCUCACCAAGGCGACGACGGGUAGCCGGCCUGAGAGGGUGACCGGCCACACUGGGACUGAGACACGGCCCAGACUCCUACGGGAGGCAGCAGUGGGGAAUAUUGCACAAUGGGCGCAAGCCUGAUGCAGCGACGCCGCGUGAGGGAUGACGGCCUUCGGGUUGUAAACCUCUUUCAGUAGGGAAGAAGCGAAAGUGACGGUACCUGCAGAAGAAGCACCGGCUAACUACGUG
rnacentral:rRNA from 1 species